rnacentral:rRNA from 1 species
CGGGUGAGUAACACGUGGAUAACCUACCUAUAAGACUGGGAUAACUUCGGGAAACCGGAGCUAAUACCGGAUAAUAUUUUGAACCGCAUGGUUCAAAAGUGAAAGACGGUCUUGCUGUCACUUAUAGAUGGAUCCGCGCUGCAUUAGCUAGUUGGUAAGGUAACGGCUUACCAAGGCAACGAUGCAUAGCCGACCUGAGAGGGUGAUCGGCCACACUGGAACUGAGACACGGUCCAGACUCCUACGGGAGGCAGCAGUAGGGAAUCUUCCGCAAUGGGCGAAAGCCUGACGGAGCAACGCCGCGUGAGUGAUGAAGGUCUUCGGAUCGUAAAACUCUGUUAUUAGGGAAGAACAUAUGUGUAAGUAACUGUGCACAUCUUGACGGUACCUAAUCAGAAAGCCACGGCUAACUACGUGCCAGCAGCCGCGGUAAUACGUAGGUGGCAAGCGUUAUCCGGAAUUAUUGGGCGUAAAGCGCGCGUAGGCGGUUUUUUAAGUCUGAUGUGAAAGCCCACGGCUCAACCGUGGAGGGUCAUUGGAAACUGGAAAACUUGAGUGCAGAAGAGGAAAGUGGAAUUCCAUGUGUAGCGGUGAAAUGCGCAGAGAUAUGGAGGAACACCAGUGGCGAAGGCGACUUUCUGG